UUCAGGAUGACGUUAUUUAUGAUAAGCCCCGGCUAAUUACGUGCCAGCAGCCGCGGUAAUACGUAAGGGGCGAGCGUUGUUCGGGAUUAUUGGGCGUAAAGGGUGAGUAGGCGGAUAUGUAAGUCUAUGCAUAAAAUACCACAGCUCAACUGUGGAACUAUGUUGGAAACUAUAUGUCUAGAGUCUGAUAGAGGAAGUUAGAAUUCCUGGUGUAAGGGUGGAAUCUGUUGAUAUCAGGAAGAAUACCGGAGGCGAAGGCGAACUUCUGGGUCAAGACUGACGCUGAUCACGAAAGCA
rnacentral:rRNA from 1 species